rnacentral:rRNA from 1 species
GAUUGAACGCUGGCGGCAGGCCUAACACGUGCAAGUCGAGCGGAUGAGUGGAGCUUGCUCCAUGAUUCAGCGGCGGACGGGUGAGUAAUGCCUAGGAAUCUGCCUGGUAGUGGGGGACAACGUUUCGAAAGGAACGCUAAUACCGCAUACGUCCUACGGGAGAAAGCAGGGGACCUUCGGGCCUUGCGCUAUCAGAUGAGCCUAGGUCGGAUUAGCUAGUUGGUGAGGUAAUGGCUCACCAAGGCGACGAUCCGUAACUGGUCUGAGAGGAUGAUCAGUCACACUGGAACUGAGACACGGUCCAGACUCCUACGGGAGGCAGCAGUGGGGAAUAUUGGACAAUGGGCGAAACCUGAUCCAGCCAUGCCGCGUGUGUGAAGAAGGUCUUCGGAUUGUAAAGCACUUUAAGUUGGGAGGAAGGGCAUUAACCUAAUACGUUAGUGUUUUGACGUUACCGACAGAAUAAGCACCGGCUAACUUCGUGCCAGCAGCCGCGGUAAUACGAAGGGUGCAAGCGUUAAUCGGAAUUACUGGGCGUAAAGCGCGCGUAGGUGGUUUGUUAAGUUGGAUGUGAAAGCCCCGGGCUCAACCUGGGAACUGCAUCCAAAACUGGCAAGCUAGAGUAUGGCAGAGGGUGGUGGAAUUUCCUGUGUAGCGGUGAAAUGCGUAGAUAUAGGAAGGAACACCAGU